GCAGCAGCCGCGGUAAUACAGAGGGUGCGAGCGUUAAUCGGAUUUAUUGGGCGUAAAGCGUGCGUAGGCGGCUUUUUAAGUCGGAUGUGAAAUCCCUGAGCUUAACUUAGGAAUUGCAUUCGAUACUGGGAAGCUAGAGUAUGGGAGAGGAUGGUAGAAUUCCAGGUGUAGCGGUGAAAUGCGUAGAGAUCUGGAGGAAUACCGAUGGCGAAGGCAGCCAUCUGGCCUAAUACUGACGCUGAGGUACGAAAGCAUGGGGAGCAAACAGGAUUAGAUACCCCUGUAGUCCCUGUCUCUUAUAC
rnacentral:rRNA from 1 species